rnacentral:rRNA from 1 species
CCCCAGACUCCUACGGGAGGCAGCAGUGGGGAAUAUUGCACAAUGGGGGAAACCCUGAUGCAGCGACGCCGCGUGAGUGAAGAAGUAUUUCGGUAUGUAAAGCUCUAUCAGCAGGGAAGAAAAUGACGGUACCUGAAGAAGAAGCCCCGGCUAACUACGUGCCAGCAGCCGCGGUAAUACGUAGGGGGCAAGCGUUAUCCGGAUUUACUGGGUGUAAAGGGGGCGCAGACGGCGAUGCAAGCCAGGAGUGAAAGCCCGGGGCCCAACCCCGGGACUGCUCUUGGAACUGCGUGGCUGGAGUGCAGGAGGGGCAGGCGGAAUUCCUGGUGUAGCGGUGAAAUGCGUAGAUAUCAGGAGGAACACCGGUGGCGAAGGCGGCCUGCUGGACUGCAACUGACGUUGAGGCCCGAAAGCGUGGGGAGCAAACAGGAUUAGAUACCCCCGUA